AGAGUUUGAUCCUGGCUCAGGACGAACGCUGGCGGCGUGCCUAAUACAUGCAAGUCGAGCGAAGUUAAGGGAGCUUGCUCCCAAGACUCAGCGGCGGACGGGUGAGUAACACGUGGGUAACCUGCCUGUAAGACCGGGAUAACUCCGGGAAACCGGAGCUAAUACCAGAUAAUCAACUUAGUUGCAUAACAAAGUUGUGAAAGAUGGCGCAAGCUAUCACUUACAGAUGGGCCCGCGGCGCAUUAGCUAGUUGGUAGGGUAAAGGCCUACCAAGGCGACGAUGCGUAGCCGACCUGAGAGGGUGAUCGGCCACACUGGGACUGAGACACGGCCCAGACUCCUACGGGAGGCAGCAGUAGGGAAUCUUCCGCAAUGGACGAAAGUCUGACGGAGCAACGCCGCGUGAGUGAAGAAGGUU
rnacentral:rRNA from 1 species